rnacentral:rRNA from 1 species
AGGCUGGUUUGGAAAGGAAGCUUCGGCCUCCGCAUCGGGAUCGGCCCGCGGCCCAUUAGCUUGUUGGUGAGGUAACGGCUCACCAAGGCUACGAUGGGUAGCUGGUCUGAGAGGACGAUCAGCCACACUGGGACUGAGACACGGCCCAGACUCCUACGGGAGGCAGCAGUGGGGAAUCUUGCGCAAUGCGCGAAAGCGUGACGCAGCAACGCCGCGUGGGUGAAGACGGCCUUCGGGUUGUAAAGCCCUUUCAGUUGGGACGAAGCUUCGCCGGUUAAUAGCCGGCCGGAGUGACGGUACCUUCAGAAGAAGCCCCGGCUAACUACGUGCCAGCAGCCGCGGUAAUACGU